UAGGGAAUCUUCGGCAAUGGGGGCAACCCUGACCGAGCAACGCCGCGUGAGUGAAGAAGGUUUUCGGAUCGUAAAGCUCUGUUGUAAGUCAAGAACGAGUGUGAGAGUGGAAAGUUCACACUGUGACGGUAGCUUACCAGAAAGGGACGGCUAACUACGUGCCAGCAGCCGCGGUAAUACGUAGGUCCCGAGCGUUGUCCGGAUUUAUUGGGCGUAAAGCGAGCGCAGGCGGUUAGAUAAGUCUGAAGUUAAAGGCUGUGGCUUAACCAUAGUAGGCUUUGGAAACUGUUUAACUUGAGUGCAAGAGGGGAGAGUGGAAUUCCAUGUGUAGCGGUGAAAUGCGUAGAUAUAUGGAGGAACACCGGUGGCGAAAGCGGCUCUCUGGCUUGUAACUGACGCUGAGGCUCGAAAGCGUGGGGAGCAAACAGGAUUAGAUACCCUGGUAGUCCAUGCUGUAAACGAUGAGUGCUAGGUGUUAGACCCUUUCCGGGGUUUAGUGCCGUAGCUAACGCAUUAAGCACUCCGCCUGGGGAGUACGACCGCAAGGUUG
rnacentral:rRNA from 1 species